UGGGGAAUUUUGGACAAUGGGCGCAAGCCUGAUCCAGCAAUGCCGCGUGCAGGAUGAAGGCCUUCGGGUUGUAAACUGCUUUUGUACGGAGCGAAAAGGUCUGCCCUAAUACGGUGGGCUCAUGACGGUACCGUAAGAAUAAGCACCGGCUAACUCUGUGCCAGCAGCCGCGGUAAUACAGAGGGCGCAAGCGUUAAUCGGAAUUACUGGGCGUAAAGCGCGCGUAGGUGGUUCGUUAAGUUGGAUGUGAAAUCCCCGGGCUCAACCUGGGACCUGCAUUUGUGACUGUAUAGCUAGAGUACGGUAGAGGGGGAUGGAAUUCCGCGUGUAGCAGUGAAAUGCGUAGAUAUGCGGAGGAACACCGAUGGCGAAGGCAAUCCCCUGGACCUGUACUGACGAUCAUGCACGAAAGCGUGGGGAGCAAACA
rnacentral:rRNA from 1 species